rnacentral:rRNA from 1 species
GACGAACGCUGGCGGCGUGCUUAACACAUGCAAGUCGAACGGUGAAGCGCCUUCCUUUUUGGUGGGUGUGGAUGAGUGGCGAACGGGUGAGUAACACGUGAGUAACCUGCCCCCUUCUUCUGGAUAACCGCAUGAGAGUGUGGCUAAUACGGGAUAUUCUGGGUCUGUCGCAUGAUGGGUCUGGGAAAGAUAUUGUUUCGGUGGGGGAUGGGCUCGCGGCCUAUCAGCUUGUUGGUGGGGUGAUGGCCUACCAAGGCGGUGACGGGUAGCCGGCCUGAGAGGGUGGACGGUCACACUGGGACUGAGACACGGCCCAGACUCCUACGGGAGGCAGCAGUGGGGAAUAUUGCACAAUGGGCGCAAGCCUGAUGCAGCGACGCCGCGUGAGGGAUGGAGGCCUUCGGGUUGUGAACCUCUUUCGCCAGUGAAGCAGGCCUGCCUCGUUUGUGGGUGGGUUGACGGUAGCUGGAUAAGAAGCGCCGGCUAACUACG